rnacentral:rRNA from 1 species
UACGUAGGGGGCUAGCGUUGUCCGGAAUCAUUGGGCGUAAAGCGCGCGUAGGCGGCCCGGUAAGUCCGCUGUGAAAGUCAAAGGCUCAACCUUUGAAAGCCGGUGGAUACUGCCGGGCUAGAGUCCGGAAGAGGCGAGUGGAAUUCCUGGUGUAGCGGUGGAAUGCGCAGAUAUCAGGAGGAACACCAAUAGCGAAGGCAGCUCGCUGGGACGGUACUGACGCUGAGACGCGAAAGCGUGGGGAGCGAACAGG